GAGAGAUGACUGAGUGGCUUAAGGUGGCGGUCUUGAAAACCGUUGUGGGUUCAUACCCACCGUGGGUUCGAAUCCCACUCUCUCC
rnacentral:tRNA from 1 species